rnacentral:misc_RNA from 1 species
UUUCCGUAGGUGAACCUGCGGAAGGAUCAUUAUAGUACAAAAUGCCAGGGGCAUGCGAGGGCUGUCGCUGACCCAAAAGUCAUGCACGCCCGUGUGUGUCCUCUUGCGUAAUAAUCCAUCUAACCCGCUGUGCAUCCCCGCGUGGGCACGCUUCGGGAUCAUCUCGGAGGGGGGCUCCCGUUUUCACACAAACCCCCCUUUUAAAAGUGUAGAAUGACCACAUUUAUGCAAUCAAUACAACUUUCAACAACGGAUCUCUUGGCUCUC